AGUGGCCAAAUGGUUUAGGUGUUUGCUUUUAAAGUAAGAGGUCAUGAGUUCAAUUCCCUUUU
rfam:Xenopus laevis strain J chromosome 1S, whole genome shotgun sequence.